AUUGAACGCUGGCGGCAGGCCUAACACAUGCAAGUCGAACGAGUGGCGGACGGGUGAGUAAUGUCUGGGAAACUGCCUGAUGGAGGGGGAUAACUACUGGAAACGGUAGCUAAUAACGCAUACCAUCAGAUGAUCCCAGAUGGGUUUAGCUAGUUGGUGUGGUAACGGCUCACCAAGGCGACGAUCCCUAGCUGGUCUGAGAGGAUGACCAGCCACACUGGAACUGAGACACGGCCCAGACUCCUACGGUAGGCAGCAGUGGGGAAUAUUGCACAAUGGGCGAAAGCCUGAUGCAGCCAUGCCGCGUGUAUGAAGAAGGCCUUCGGGUUGUAAAGUACUUUCAGCGGGGAGGCGUUACCCGCAGAAGAAGCACCGGCUAACUCCGUGCCAGCAGCCGCGGUAAUUC
rnacentral:rRNA from 1 species